GGGGAUGUAGCUCAGUUGGCUAGAGCGCUUGACUGGCAGUCAAGAGGUCGUGGGUUCGAAUCCCAUCUUCUCCA
rfam:Cryomorphaceae bacterium BACL21 MAG-121220-bin10 contig00053.0_to_2_1_121220-bin10, whole genome shotgun sequence.